rnacentral:rRNA from 1 species
AGAGUUUGAUCAUGGCUCAGGAUGAACGCUGGCGGCGUGCCUAACACAUGCAAGUCGAACGGGACUACUGGAAGAUCUUUUCGGAGUGAUUCCUUUAGUUUAGUGGCGGACGGGUGAGUAACGCGUGGAUAACCUGCCUUUCACAGGGGGAUAGCAGCUGGAAACGGCUGGUAAUACCGCAUACGCUCAAGUUACCGCAUGGUGACAUGAGGAAAGAUUUAUCGGUGAAAGAUGGAUCCGCGUCUGAUUAGCCAGUUGGCGGGGUAACGGCCCACCAAAGCAACGAUCAGUAGCCGGCCUGAGAGGGCGGACGGCCACAUUGGGACUGAGACACGGCCCAGACUCCUACGGGAGGCAGCAGUGGGGGAUAUUGCACAAUGGGCGCAAGCCUGAUGCAGCGACGCCGCGUGAGUGAAGAAGUAUUUCGGUAUGUAAAGCUCUAUCAGCAGGGAAGAAAGGCCCUUUUAGGGAGAUGACGGUACCUGACUAAGAAGCCCCGGCUAACUACGUGCCAGCAGCCGCGGUAAU